AGAGCUUCCACACAGAAAUUUCGUUGUUGUUUUGCUUGUUUAUUUUGUUUUCUUUUCAUUUGCAGGGGAGGUUGCAAGGGUGAAAGGCAGAUAUGGAGGGAGGGGGAAGAUGAGGAGGAUUAGGGUGCAUGAUGUGAAAUUCACACACACACAAAAAGUUAUUUUUUUUUAAAUGAAAGAAAAAGAAAAGAGUCAGAAAACACACACAUGACUUCCAUUCUGCUUCACUGGUGGAAACACUUAUGGGCACACUCAGCAUCAAGGAAAUCCGGGACUUGUAUUUGGAUCAUUGCAUGUCUAGGAAGAAUGAAUCUGGGAGGUACCCAGACAUCACUUAAAUGCAAGCAUCAUGAUAUAAUGAAGAGCAGGAACACUC
rnacentral:lncRNA from 1 species